ACGCUCGACACCUACGGAGGCAGCAGUGGGGAAUAUUGCACAAUGGGGGAAACCCUGAUGCAGCAACGCCGCGUGAAGGAAGACGGUUUUCGGAUUGUAAACUUCUGUUCUUAGUGAAGAUAGUGACGGUAGCUAAGGAGCAAGCCACGGCUAACUACGUGCCAGCAGCCGCGGUAAUCUGAGCGGGCUGGCAAGGC
rnacentral:rRNA from 1 species